rfam:Intestinimonas butyriciproducens strain AF211, complete genome.
ACAAUAUAAGCUGUAAAGAAGUGCUUCGCGCACGGGCCGGUGUUCAUU